CCUACGGGUGGCAGCAGUAGGGAAUCUUCCACAAUGGGCGAAAGUCUGACGGAGCAACGCCGCGUGGGUGAAGAAGGUCUUCGGAUCGUAAAACUCUGUUGUUAGAGAAGAACGUGUGUUAGAGUAACUGUUCACGUCUCGACGGUAUCUAACCAGAAAGCCACGGCUAACUACGUGCCAGCAGCCGCGGUAAUACGUAGGUGGCAAGCGUUGUCCGGAUUUAUUGGGCGUAAAGGGAACGCAGGCGGUCUUUUAAGUCUGAUGUGAAAGCCCUCGGCUCAACCGGGGUGGUGCAUUGGAAACUGGGGGACUUGAGUGCAGAAGAGGAGAGUGGAACUCCAUGUGUAGCGGUGAAAUGCGUAGAUAUAUGGAGGAACACCAGUGGCGAAAGCGACUCUCUGGUCUGUAACUGACGCUGAGGUUCGAAAGCGUGGGUAGCAAACAGGAUUAGAUACCCGUGUAGUC
rnacentral:rRNA from 1 species